rnacentral:rRNA from 1 species
AAUGAACGUUGGCGGCGUGGAUUAGGCAUGCAAGUCGAGCGAGAAGUUUUUGGUGCUUGCACUAGAAACCGAAAGCGGCGAAAGGGUUAGUAACGAGUAGAUUAUCUGCCCUCGGGUUCGGGAUAGCCACGGGAAACUGUGGGUAAUACCGAAUAAUAUCUCCGGAUCAAAGAUUUAUUGCCCGAGGAGGGGUUUGCUUCCUAUUAGUUUGUUGGUGAGGUAACGGCUCACCAAGACCGAGAUGGGUAACGGGUGUGAGAGCAUGGCCCGUAACACUGGGACUGAGACACUGCCCAGACACCUACGGGUGGCUGCAGUCGAGAAUCUUCCGCAAUGGACGAAAGUCUGACGGAGCGACGCCGCGUGCGGGACGAAGGCCUUCGGGUUGUAAACCGCUGUCAGAGGGAAAGAAAUUUGACUGAACCUCAGAGGAAGCACAGGCUAAGUU